AGUGAACGCUGGCGGUAGGCCUAACACAUGCAAGUCGAACGGCAGCACAGGAGAGCUUGCUCUCUGGGUGGCGAGUGGCGGACGGGUGAGGAAUACAUCGGAAUCUACCUUUUCGUGGGGGAUAACGUAGGGAAACUUACGCUAAUACCGCAUACGACCUACGGGUGAAAGUGGGGGGCCGCAAGGCCUCACGCGAUUGGAUGAGCCGAUGUCCGAUUAGCUAGUUGGCGGGGUAAUGGCCCACCAAGGCGACGAUCGGUAGCUGGUCUGAGAGGAUGAUCAGCCACACUGGAACUGAGACACGGUCCAGACUCCUACGGGAGGCAGCAGUGGGGAAUAUUGGACAAUGGGCGCAAGCCUGAUCCAGCCAUACCGCGUGGGUGAAGAAGGCCUUCGGGUUGUAAAGCCCUUUUGUUGGGAAAGAAAUCCUGUCGAUUAAUACUCGGUGGGGAUGACGGUACCCAAAGAAUAAGCACCGGCUAACUUCGUGCCAGCAGCCGCGGUAAAAC
rnacentral:rRNA from 1 species